UACGGGGGGGGCAAGCGUUGUUCGGAAUUACUGGGCGUAAAGGGCGUGUAGGCGGCCCGGCAAGUCAGUUGUGAAAGCCCCAGGCUCAACUUGGGAAUUGCAACUGAAACUGCCUGGCUAGAGUUCUGGAGAGGAAAGCGGAACUCCCAGUGUAGCGGUGAAAUGCGUAGAUAUUGGGAGGAACACCGGUGGCGAAGGCGGCUUUCUGGACAGUAACUGACGCUGAGGCGCGAAAGCCAGGGGAG
rnacentral:rRNA from 1 species